AGUAAUACACUUGACUUAGAAAGACAAGCCAGCGGCAAUUAUAAAAUAAUGACACCUAAGAAUGUUUUCAAGAAGUCUGGUUCAUAAUGCAUUCAAACUUAAAAAAAUAUUAAAGACAACUAAAAAAAUUUUGCUCAUUUUUGGAGCAAAAAAACUACCAAAGAAGGAGCAGCUUGAGGGAAUAUUAAUGGAUUAUGAGAAGAAAAUGAAACUGAACUAUUUUGCGUUAUCCUACAAGAUGAAUGAUUAUAGAGUACAAUAGACUGACUAACCAGGAGUUGAAAGCCAGAUCAUAAGAUAUUUGAAGAGACACAGUAACCUCUCAAAAUGAGGCCAAUUUUCUUAGAUCAGGCUUUUCACUUGAGUGCUGUACAUGUGUGUCCUUCAGGUACUGAUGAAGCCUCUACAGAGCUCUCUUCUCAGCCUUGCUCUGCCAUUUCUGCUGCUACUGCAGCAGUGACACUGGAAUCCCUGAAGCAUCAAAUCUUGAAUUGGAGGAAAGUACUUCUUUCCAUAUUUUGUAAUAUGUCCUACUAAAGGAUAGCAAAGCAGAGUUGUUUGCUCCCAUCUUAGAAACUUUUAAAUAAAAUUUAGGUAUUACUUUUAAACAUAGGUCCACAGAGAAGACAAAUCUAAGUGGCAAAAAUAAUGUGUAUUCAGCGUCACUAUUCCCCAAGGAUGACAAAUGUAUGUUUUUUGCUGUAAUAUCUCCCAGUUGACUCCAUCUUCUCUUCUAUUGAAUUUUCAACCAGAGAGCUUCUUAGUUCCUUAUUCAAAUACAGUUUUGGUAGACCUAACCAGUAUUAUAUGUGCCUGAUCUAUCUAAAUCUAAUCAAGUUUGGUUUAAAUGAAAUCAAGUGUACUCACAGCCUCUCAUACCUAUUCCAUUUUUACUUUUGUACAACCACAAAAUUAGCCCAGAGUGGGGGAGUUCACUUGAUAAUUUGCUAAGUGCAAUUGCCACCACCAGUACUCUAUGAUCCAGCCCCUCCCUACCCAACAUGACAUCAUCGAUUAAAAUUCCUAAAUCAAUGCUAUUUUUUACUUAAGAAUGUAUAGUAUUUUUCUUUGACUCUUCAGAUAAAGACCCUCAAUCAAUCUACCACUCAAAUAUCUUCCUAAUAUUUACUGUAAUACGGUUUCCAUUGUUCUUUAAUUUUAGCUCUUACCUUUCUUCAUCUCAGCCCUAUAUCACGAAUAUUCUUCCUUUUCAAAUGGUCACAUUAUUUCUAAGUAUCCACCACAAUCUCUACCUUCUCUCAGAACAGUUGUGAAAUUUUAAGUUGUAUUUUUGAAAAUUUGGUAAAUCAUUUGAUGCUUAAAUAAUUGAAUAAGGUCAGGCUGUGUUUAAUAAAUGUCAGCUGUGCUUUAUGGUACGUAGGUAAAACACAAUAUGGCUUAAAGGUAAAAAUCAAACAAUUCACCCUAAGGUUAGCGUUACAAUUUUUAUUAUCCCCUUAGGUUAGCAAACCACUGAUAACAAACCCAGGUGUUACUUUGUCCUUUCUUGUUAGACUUAAACUCAGUAAUUCCAGAUUAAGUCUCAUCCUGAUAUCGUCAAAAACCCAAUUUGGCAAUUCAAUUAUACUGCCUGCCUUUUUAGAAAAAUUUCCCUUUGUCGAUGGCAUCACACUUCCAAUCUCUUUUUCAAUGGUUGCCUUCAUCCUCCUACAUGUGACUGCAACUCCUUCAAGCUACAUCAAAAAUACAGUUCUUUAAUUUUC
rnacentral:lncRNA from 1 species